rnacentral:tRNA from 1 species
UGGCCCCGUAGUUCAAUGGAUAGAAUAGAAGUUUCCUAAACUUUAGAUCCAAGUUCGAUUCUUGGCGAGGCUACCCA